UGCGUAUCUACUAAAAGGUCAUAACAUUGUUUGUCUUUCAAAGUUUGAAAUAAAUAUAUUAUUUCUUAAAAGAGUAUUUUUCAAUCAUUUAAAUUACUUUUAAUAUUUAAUUUUAGUUUUAUGUUAGUUUGAUACUGUUAAACUAUACACUAAAAUGUAAGUUUAGUUGCAAACUGACUUCAAAAUUCCGUGUUUGAUUGUUUAUUUCUUUUGUCGUCGUUUUAUGCUCGUUCAACAUUUUGGAAUUUCACUUGGUUUUAUCGUCGGAUUUUCUUGAAAAUAUGGAGGUACAGUUUCUUGGUGGUAUUGGUGGACAGGGCAUUUUUUCAUGUGUCAACGCAGUGCUCAGGAGAUUGAUGACAAAUUCUGCCGCAUCCCAAUACAGCUGGAGUGGGUUCAAAGGAAAGAAAACAUUUAUAAAUUUAAGGCUGUCACAAGUUGUGCUACAUGUACGGUUACAUGUGCCAGGGGCUAUUGAAACUGAAGUGUCAGAGCAGAUACAAGCUUGGUUGAAGCAUGCCAAAACAAGACUUGUCAGAACAUCACAGAAGUUGCCAGUUUCUGACCAGUGUUGAAAAAAGAAGCAUAAGAACUUAAGUGAACUACUUUGUAAUGAAUUUUACCAGGACAUGAAUUAUUGUGCCAAAUGAAUGUUUAAAAAUACCUUGCAUAUAAUACUUUGAUACUCUACUUUGAAAACUAUAAAAUACUUUGUAGAAAUAUUGCAGAAUUAAACUUUUACUUACACUUAUUAAAAGGUUUUGUUUUUUAACUGCCUUCAUGCAACACUAAUGUCUUGAUUCAAAGCUACUAAGCCUAACCAAAAUACUUACCAGACCAGUCUCCAGCUGCGAACGAGUCUCCUCAAAACUCGGUCCAAUCUUCAGCGUGACCGACUCUGGCUUUUGUGAUCUCGACUUGAAGGUCCUCCGGAGUCAACACAGACACAUUGUUAACUUCGAGGAUAAUGUUGCGAACAUGGUGCAAACCUUGUCUGUCGAUUAUGACUCAAUAUAUCAGGGUCAAACGUUGACCUCUUACUACAAAUAAAAAAACUUAAUUUUGUGGAAGUAAAAAAAAGUUUGUUUAUUUUAAUGUUUUCUGUGUGACUCAUGUAAAAUAUUUUUACUGUAAUAAUAGUGAAGCUAUUAAAAGAUAAUUCUGUCAUGUACUACUAUUUAAUUUUUCAGUAUAUAUUUUAUUUCUACCAACAGAGUUUAUUUUUUAAUAACUUGUGUGUAUUAUCUACAUUAUCUAUUACUUACUUAGAUAAAGAGAAUUAAUUCAUCGUACAGUAGCAUCCCGAUUUGAUGAGAUGCCAUGGUUUUCUAAAAUCUUUCCGCUAAAUCAGUGUUUCAUUAAAUCCAACUUCACCAUUGACCUCCAAAUGUCCUUUGGUACGACAUGAUUCAUGUUUUUCUAUACCAAGUUUUUAAAUUGCGAAUGUAAAACUUAUAUCACCCUACUUUCAGAUCUGUCAAAAAAUUGAAGGUACUGUAUUUAAUUGCAUAAUGUCCACACAUUUAUUUUUAAAUACUUGAAAUGGAUUUUUUUUUUUUUUAAAUUUACAUAAAGUCCACACCAGAUUAAAGUAACAAGAUAUUAGUUCCGUGCUGAGAACGUCACCAUCCUGGUUGUUUUGUUUAUUGAUCACUGUUGCCAAAUCUAUGGUGAGUUAUCGUACAACGCAAUAGUAUUAAGCGAGAUUCACGCAUUUGUUAAUUACGGUAAGAAGACACAAGAUUUUUGUUGCUUGUACCAGAGUUCUUGCUACUUUGUACAAGAAAUAUAUCUGUAAGGUAUAGCAAUGCUUGUAUUCCGCCAUCUUUGCCAUCAUCUUAUUUACCGCUGGCUCUACCAAACAUUGUGUCGCCGAUAACAUGGGGAGGGAGGCUCGCCAGCGCCGGCUAAUGCAGACAUUAGACAUCUGCCGCGUGUCGUCAGUGGCCGCCACAAUCAUUGCACCAAUUACACUUCUUUCUGUCCAGACAGUAAAGUGUGUGAUAUCUGACCGACGAGACAGUCAUUGGUGUCAACGACUGCAGUGUAAGCAUGGUCCAACUCCGGUUGGUUACUGGUGUGGGUGGCCAAAAAUAAUAUUGUAACGUUUUUACGCAAUGUUUUCUCAUCACAGCAAGGUAAAUCCAAAUAAACUAAUUAUGAUAAAAGAAAUUUUUUUAUUCUAUAUAAAAACAUGAUGUAAAAUUUUGAGAAAAAAUAAUUUUCGGACUUCACCUCAUAAUGUCCGCACCCCAUUUUCUUCAUAAAAAAUGUUGCCAAAUUACUGCAGACAUUAUGUGAGUAAAUACAGUAUUAAUGUGAUAUGGGCAACAACCAGGGUUUUAAAUUCCAAACAUAAAACAUGUUUGACACUGUUUUCAGAGCUGUCAGAAAAGUGAACUUAUUAUGUGAUAGACUACCUAACUUGGCAAUGCUGCUGAUUAGUUGGCAGAGAAAUGUUGCUUCAAAGUUGUCUGGGACAAUUUUGCUGCAAGGUUGUCUAGGGCAAUUUUGCUGCAAAGUUGUCAGAGUAGCACUGCUGCAAAGUUAUCUGUGGCAUCGUUGCUGCAAAGUUGUCUGUGGCAACGUUGCUGCAAAGUUUUCUGUGGCAACGUUGCUGCAAAGUUGUCUGUGGCAACGUUGCUGCAAAGUUGUCUGUGGCAACGUUGCUGCAAAGUUGUCUGGCAACGUUGCUACAAAGUUGUCUGUGGCAACGUUGCUGCAAAGUUGUCUAAGCAACGUUGCUGCAAGGUUGUCUAAGCAACGUUGCUGCAAGGUUGUCUGGGGCAAUGUUGCUGCAAAGUUGGCUGCACAACGUUGCUGCAAAGUUGGCUGCACAACGUUGCUGCAACACUUUUCUUGGGUUGCUAAGCAAUGUUGACGUUGUUUGGUGGUUUACAAUUCAACGUUGUUACAACGUUGCAUGAACAACGUUUCACAGGGCGGACAUCUGGCCGUUGCAUCAACGUUGAUGCAACGUUGCAUAAACAUUACUUCAACAUUGUAGCAACGUUGACAAAUUUUAAGGCAACGUUGUGGAAACGUUUCUGCAACGUUGAUGUGUUAUGUGG